rnacentral:misc_RNA from 1 species
AAAGUCGUAACAAGGUCUCCGUUGGUGAACCAGCGGAGGGAUCAUUACAGAGUUGUAAAACUCCCAAACCCAUGUGAACAUACCUCUGUUGCCUCGGCGGCCUACCCCGUAGUUACCCUGUAGCUACCCUGUAGUCCGCCGGAGGACCAAAAAACUCUUUCAUAAUUGUAUCUCUGAGACAAAAACAAACAAGUUAAAACUUUCAACAACGGAUCUCUUGGUUCUG